CAGCAGCCGCGGUAAUACGAAGGGUGCAAGCGUUACUCGGAAUUACUGGGCGUAAAGCGUGCGUAGGUGGUGGUUUAAGUCCGUUGUGAAAGCCCUGGGCUCAACCUGGGAAUUGCAGUGGAUACUGGGUCACUAGAGUGUGGUAGAGGAUAGUGGAAUUUCAGGUGUAGCAGUGAAAUGCGUAGAGAUCGGAAGGAACAUCUGUGGCGAAGGCGACUAUCUGGGCCAACACUGACACUGAGGCACGAAAGCGUGGGGAGCAAACAGGAUUAGAUACCCCGGUAGUCCCUGUCUCUUAUAC
rnacentral:rRNA from 1 species